rnacentral:rRNA from 1 species
UACAGAGGGUGCGAGCGUUGUCCGGAAUCACUGGGCGUAAAGGGCGCGUAGGUGGCGACCCAAGUCCGUGGUGAAAGCUCGUCGCUUAACGACGAGUCGGCCACGGAGACUGGGUGGCUCGAGCACUGUAGGGGCAGAUGGAAUUCCGGGUGUAGCGGUGGAAUGCGUAGAGAUCCGGAAGAACACCGGUGGCGAAGGCGGCUUCUUGGGCCGUUUCUGACGCUGAGGCGCGAAAGCCAGGGGAGCGAACGGG